UCUGCUCAGACACUGAGGUCCAGCUCCGAGGGCCUUCUGGCGGUUCCCUCCCUGCGAGAAGCCAAGUUACAGGGAACCAGGCAGAGGGCCUUCUCGGUGGUGGCACCCGCCCUGUGGAACGCCCUCCCAUCAGAUGUCAAAGAGAACAACUACCAGACUUUUAGAAGACAUCUGAAGGCAGCCCUGUUUAGGGAAGCUUUU
rnacentral:lncRNA from 1 species